rnacentral:sRNA from 1 species
CACAGCGAGACUUAACGGAUACAGGAAAGAGUGUUUGGCGUUCUGUUGUGUUGGACUAAGUAUCGUGGACACGACACCCUCUGUCUGUGUUGGAAGGGGGGAGAAAUAUGGUCCAUAAUAAAUGAACAAUCGUGCUUUCAAUGAACGGGUGCCCUCAGAAAAUUUAUCACUUGAAAACGUUCAAGUUGUCUCACAAACAUUUCUAAACAUAACUACAUAGAUUAGGGCUUAAGUGGCCACACGGAGGACAGGGGAAUACUCUUAUACCUUGCUGUGAUAUGGAGGGGUGAGAACCUAAAUACACCAUCCUGUAACUGGUAGUCCCAGGACAGGAAUUUACAUACGCUAUAUUGUCAUUGCAAAAGGUGGCGUAGUUUGCAUUGUCACCAAAGGACGUGUAUCUGGGUUUCAUACAAGAAUGGCAAUUUUUAAAAACAUCACACCAGGAUUCAUUCAACCUGCUAGGAUGACAAUCAAACCAAAAUAACACUUCAGAGAUGUGAACCCCCUCACCUCCUUAUUCUUGCCUAAAGCACGUGCUUUCAACCUAAAGAUGAACCUCCCCUUCCCAUCCUUCUUUCUCAGUUUCUCGCUCUCUUAAGGAAUGACUAAUUAUCUGAAAAUGAAACAAGUUUACGCGUUUCCAUAGCAACAUACACGACAUUUUCUAAAGAAGCUGAGUUAAUUAAUUAAUAAAUACUUGGAUU